CAGGAAUCCACUAUGAGUGUGGUUUUUAUAAGAGUUAUUUGUUCAUAAAAUAUACAAGAAAUUGGAGAGAAAUUAUCUUUUUAUGUGAAAGUAAAUUGGAUUUCUAUAUGGUGGUAUAAUUAUGCUUCGGAAGAUAUUUUCAUGCUUGCCUUUGUAUAAAGUACAUGGCAUAAUUUUCAAAACUGCCUCAAAACUGGCAACAAAAAAAAAUCUAGUUAUGUAGCAAUUUAUCAACAAGUCUCUUACAUUAUCAAGCUUAUUUUUGACAACAGAGCAACUGUAAAGGGAUAUUUGUUUCUCGUCCAGCACACCACUGGUUACUGUAACUGAAAUAGGGUUGCACAAUUCAGGUAACUUUCCAAAAGUUCCCAGGGUUUUCAGAAAUCCUUGUUUGGAAGAGGGAGGGGAUAAGCAGAACAUUCGGAAUCCUCCAACCAGGAUUUAUGGAAAACUUGGGGACUUUGGCCAAGUUGCCGUCAUUUGGCCAUGCUUAACGGAAAUAGAUGUUUUAUGACCACUAAGAGAAACAGGCUGAAUUUUCAUAGGAGAGGCUGUUUAGCAUCUUCACCCAAACCUUCGCUGGCAUCGCUGUGCCAAUCAGCUUCCCCUCAUAUCCAUUACUGAGUACAACUUGUAUGUCUCCUGCCUUGUAUGUUGUGUUGUUUUGAAUGCUUGCAGUUUCACUUGUCAUCUAUACACUACAGGCCAGGGUGUCAGUAAGGGUGUCAGUAAGGGAUUUGUCACCAUGUUUAGAUUCAUAUGGAUGUUCUAAGUUGUUAUUGGAAGGGCCAUGAGGUUUUCCUGAUGUUUUCACUGUCCAUAGUGAUUUCUGGUCAGGAAAACCUACUGACCCUAGUUAUACUGAACAACCACCCCAAUAGUUCUCCCCUCUUCAUUCCUAGCUUUCAUAAACAUCUUGUUGAAACAACACCACUGUUCCCCUGCUACUCUCAGUAUAUCUGUUGUGUGUUUUAUGUUGGCAUCACUUUUUGUAAAGAGAUGGGUUUUUUUUUAUGAAAACGUUUGAGAAAAAGUUAAUAAAAUGUUUGAAGCAGA
ensembl:lncRNA